CCUACGGGAGGCAGCAGUAGGGAAUCUUUCACAAUGGGCGAAAGCCUGAUGGAGCAACGCCGCGUGCAGGAUGAAGGCCUUCGGGUUGUAAACUGCUUUUAUAAGCGAGAAAUAUGAUGGUAACUUAUGAAUAAGGAUCGGCUAACUACGUGCCAGCAGCCGCGGUCAUACGUAGGAUCCGAGCAUUAUCCGGAGUGACUGGGUGUAAAGAGUUGCGUAGGUGGCAUAAUAAGUAGCUAGUGAAAUCUGGUGGCUCAACCAUUCAGACUAUUAGCUAAACUGUUAAGCUCGAGACCGUUAGGGGUAACUGGAAUUUCUAGUGUAGGAGUGAAAUCCGUAGAUAUUAGAAGGAACACCAAUAGCGUAGGCAGGUUGCUGGGACAGUUCUGACACUAAGGCACGAAAGCGUAGGGAGCAAACGGGAUUAGAUACCCCAGUAGUC
rnacentral:rRNA from 1 species